rnacentral:rRNA from 1 species
UACAGAGGUCCCAAGCGUUGUUCGGAUUCACUGGGCGUAAAGGGUGCGUAGGUGGUGAGGUAAGUCGGAUGUGAAAGCUCGGAGCUCAACUCCGAAAUGGCAUUGGAAACUACCUCGCUAGAGGAUCGGAGGGGAGACUGGAAUUCUCGGUGUAGCGGUGAAAUGCGCAGAUAUCAGGAGGAACACCGGUGGCGAAGGCGGGUCUCUGGGCCGAUAUCGACGCUGAGGAGCGAAAGCGUGGGGAGCGAACAGG